ensembl:lncRNA
GCCAGGGGAAAAACAGCGCAGGCCAGUCUAUCACAAGAACACGAACGGCGAGAAAAAAGAAAAAAACCCGUCAGGACUCGAGCAGACUGCUAAUGAGUCAGAUGUGUGGUUCACUCUGCUGUUCACUUUGUUUCUCGUAGCUUGCCCUUUCAGCUCGCGGCGUUCUGCUCUUUCCUGUCUGCAGUCCAGCUCGCCUCAGCAGGGUUCUCCCUGGUUUCAGCUCCCAGCCCCCCUCUGGCCUUGGGCCACCUCUGCAGGCCGCCUGGGAGUGUGUGAGGGUGUGUGAGCGGGUUAUUUGUGGAGUAGUAAUCCCGUCUCUUCUCUUAGAUCAGUUAGGGCAAUGCUCCAAAGUUCACAGCAGCUCGGGGAUGGGGUUAAUCAGUUGGACACCCUCUCCUCAAACUAUGCAUAUUCUCACACACAUGAAACAGAUAUGUUUGUGACAUGUUUCAGCAUCCAGCCAGGCGUCCGAUCGGGGGGGGGGGUCUGUCUCCUGCCUGGCCAGCAACAAGACGGAUCUAUAGCGGCGAGCUGUGAGAUAGAUGGCCUGCAGGCGGUCUGUGUAGCCGGGCUGAUCGAAUUUCCUCCUCAGACCCCCGUGGUCUGGACGGGAGCGUGUCACAGCCCGCACACGCACUCACACUCACACUCCCGCCAGGCCCUGUGUCUGUAUCUGAACUGACAGCUGCCUUACUUCUACUACUUCUCAUAUCUCAGCAACAGAAAGACAUCCGUCUCUCUUUCUUCUCUGCUCUCUCUCUCUUUCAUUCGCGCUUCUCGCUGUUCAUCUUUUUUCCUCGCUCUGUUUCAGGCGCCGUCAGACUUCCUGCAAACGGCAGCGCGAUCUGACUGUCGCGAUAUAGCGGGGGCAAAGCGAUUGAUCGGAGUCUGGGUGAGACGCAGACUCUCCCUCAUCCUGUUUCAGGUCUGCAGACAAACAGCACAAAGAUUACAUUUCUCUAUUUAGAAGAAGGAGAAAAGGUUUCUCGGUUUAUUUUUCUGAUGUUGUGAUUGUUCUCAUUGGGUUAUUUACCUCUCCAGCUGGCAUUAUGAUGAUGAUGAUGAUUAUUAUUAUUAUUGUUAUUAUUCCAUGGCUCUGUUAGCUGUUGCUUUUUAUGUUGUGUACAUCACUUUGGAUGAUGUUGAUCGACCCCAAACUCCAUUCCCUGUUUUCAAACCUUCUAGCCUCCACCCACCCCCCUUUUUCCUGUCUUUAGUUUUUGCAGAUGUAAUAUAACUAAAGUGUGUAAUAUUUGAUGCUGACAGAGAAAUAACAUCGGGUUUUGAGAGGGAGGGGCAGCGGAGGAUUAUUUGGGGGGGUGGGGGAUUUUAUCCUUUUUUUGUCUUGUAAUUUUAAUUUUAUAAUGUUACUUUUUCUCUCUCUUGCUUGUAUAUUUUUUAUCUUUUUUUUUUGAGGGGGGAUGUUGUAUCAUUUUAAAAGACGUGUAUUGUUUUACCAUGUAAAGGUCUAUCUUUCAGUCUUUCACCCCCCCCCCCAAGCAGUUACCUAACACUCAGAUGGAGACGAGAGUUAAUACCAUGAUGUAACAUUGAAUUUCUCCACUUCUUUCGUGUUUUUAUGUUAUUUUUUUCCCAAACUUGUAAUUAAGCUGUAAUCAGGGUUAAUUAAAACUGGUUAAAACCCAA